rnacentral:misc_RNA from 1 species
UGUGGUUAGCUUGGCGUGC